UGGAAGCAGCUAUUCAUUCAAAGAGUGCGUAACAGCUCACUGGUCGAGCGGAGCCGCGUGGAUGAUGAUCGGGCAUCAAGACCGCCGCCGAAGCCGAGGACGGCUGGCGCGAGUCAGUCGUGGUAGGGGAGCAUUCCGGUCGGCGCGGAAGGGAAGUCGCGAGGCUUCCUGGAGCGUCCGGAAAAGAAAAUGUAGGCAUGAGUAACGACAAGGGGCGUAGAAACGCCCCCGCCGAAAACCCAAGGUUUCCGGGGCCACGCUAAACGGCCCCGGGUGAGCCGGGAGCUAACGGUAAGCCGAGAGGCGAUCCGGAUGCACACGCGGUUAAUAUUCCGCGGCCGGCCCGUCGGGCGAUGUCGCGACCGAGAAGUGAAACCUCCGCGCGGAGACGGAAUUCCGCGUUGAAGGCCGUAGGGGAGACCCGAAAGCCGACAGUACAGCGAGCCUCCGGGCGAGCCGACAGCGAGGGUAACCAUGCUCGCGAGAAAAGCGACUAGCGCUAAGAGACGGGCCGCCCGUACCGUAAACCGACACAGGUGGGUGGGGAGAGUAUCCUGAGGCGCUCGAGUGAAUCACGGCCAAGGAACUAGGCAAAUUGACCCCGUAACUUAGGGAUAAGGGGUCCCGCGGCGACGCGGGCGCAGAGAAAUGGCCCAGGCGACUGUUUACCAAAAACAUAUGGCUAUGCGAAAUCGUUAAGAUGACGAAUAUGGCCUGACACCUGCCCGGUGCCGGAAGGUUAAGAGGGGGGGUCACCGAAAGGGAAGCCCUGAAUUGAAGCCCCGGUAAACGGCGGCCGUAACUAUAACGGUCCUAAGGUAGCGAAAUUCCUUGUCGGGUAAGUUCCGACCUGCACGAAUGGUGUAACGAUCUGGGCGCUGUCUCAGCCGUGAGCUCGGUGAAAUUGUAGUGACGGUGAAGAUGCCGUCUACCCGCAACGGGACGAAAAGACCCCGUGAACCUUUACUAUAGCUUAGCGCUGAUCUUGGACGUCGGAUGUGUAGCAUAGGUGGGAGGCUUCGAGGCGCGGCCGCCAGGUCGCGAUUAGCCGCCAAAUGAAAUACCACCCUUCCGUCGUCUGGGGUCUAACUUCGCGAGAAGGACACCGCUUGGUGGGUAGUUUGACUGGGGUGGUCGCCUCCAAAAGAGUAACGGAGGCUUCCCAAGGUCCGCUCAGGACGAAUGGCAACCGUCCGCAGAGUGCAGUGGCAAAAGCGGGCUUGACUGGGAGACAAACAGGUCGAGCAGGUACGAAAGUAGGGCAAAGUGAUCCGGCGGUUCCCCAUGGGAGGGCCGUCGCUCAUAGGACAAAAGGUACUCCGGGGAUAACAGGCUGAUCGCUCCCAAGAG
rnacentral:rRNA from 1 species